AAACAACCAGGGAAUUCCCUGGCAAGGAGAAGUCCUGCCCAGUCUGCAUCUUUCAGAAGCCAGGAGGAAUGCCCCAGGUUUGUGGGUAGGAGUAUGCAUACACAGUGCUGGUUGUUGGCUUUCCGGAGGCAGAUGGGAGCUGGAAGUCUCACGAAGGGAGAGUAAGAGCCCGAAGGGAACACUGAACUCCACUGUGUGGGAGCUUGAGGGGCCUGUGCUGCCCAUGCCGAGUGUCCACCAUCUCACACUGCUUCUAACACCUUCAAGCCAUCUCCUGAAUCUGGAAUAGUCAUCAUGAGCUGGAGGCUUCCUCAGAAGAACCCUAAAAUCAAGGGGGAUUCUGGUGCCAAGAAAAAUAGCCCAACCCAGCUUCACAGCUGUGAGCCUCCAAUGCGCCCCAGGAAGCUGCCAUCACCAUGGGUAGCGCGACCUGGCUUGAUUUUGCCAAAACAAAGGAAAAUUCCUCCAGCAAUUUCUGUGAAUUUGUUUUGCAAAACUGAAUUGUCUGCUUUUAAUUCCCCUAUACCAAUUAA
rnacentral:lncRNA from 1 species